rnacentral:ncRNA from 2 species
UUCCACAAGAAAUCUUCAGGCGCAGGGAACCCGGUGCGAGUCCGGGACGGUCCCGCCGCUGUAACCUCUGCAAACACCGCGUACCACGAUGCCACUGCCUGCAGGCGGGAAGGCGGUAUGCGGAAAGGGGAAGUCAGAAUACCGGCCUGAAGCAUUCCCUCUUA